rnacentral:lncRNA from 1 species
CUUGUCCAAAGGAGUUUAACAUGUAAAUGUUCCAGCAGUGCGGCUCCCAGUGAGAAGGCAUGCCCGUUAAUUAAGGCCCCCGGGACCGCAUGGUUGCAAUGAGGGAGGGAUGAGCUCUGUGCAUGCAGAAAGGCCUGCUGCUGUUUUCUCUAUGGUAGGGCCCUUUUGACUGAGAGCUAUGCAUGUGUGGGUGAGCUCUGCUGGUUGCUGGGAUGAUUUGCUGUAGGGCAAGACCUUCAGGUACUUCAUGGGAGGAGAGGCUCCAGGAGGAGAGCCUGUGCCCCGCUGCGGUGCCUUGCAGCUCCUGUGUGAGGAUGAACCAGAAGGGAAGAUCCCAGACUGGCUCUUCAGGAUCUGGUUCCUGGGCUGUCCCUUCAUCUUCUGUCAUGCUGAGGAGCAGCGAGUCCACGCCAUCUCAACCUCGGAGACCCAGGGCCAUUUAGGAUGCCCCAGCAGUCUGCUCCAGCCCCAAACCUGUCGCCCUGCAUUUAAACAACCC